rnacentral:rRNA from 1 species
UAGGUUCGACUUCGUCCGGUUACUGGUUAACUUGGUACCUUGGUACCUCGACUUCGACUUUCCCUCGUACUGAUCAACUUAGUCGCUAUUUAGUUGGUUGUUGGGGAAUUUGGACUGUUACUUUGAAAAAUUAGAGUGUUUAAAGCAAGCUAACGCUUGAAUACAUUAGCAUGGAAUAAUGAAAUAGGACGUUCGAUCCUAUUUUGUUGGUUUCUAGGAUUGACGUAAUGAUUAAUAGGGAUAGUUGGGGGCAUUAGUAUUCAAUUGUCAGAGGUGAAAUUCUUGGAUUUAUUGAAGACUAACUACUGCGAAAGCAUUUGCCAAGGAUGUUUUCAUUAAUCAAGAACGAAAGUUAGGGGAUCGAAGACGAUCAGAUACCGUCGUAGUCUUAACCAUAAACUAUGCCGACUAGGGAUCGGAUGAUGUUAAUUUUUAAUGACUC